GUGCUUGCAUUGGAAGUACAUAUACUGAAAUUGGAACCAUACUGAGAAGAGUAACAUGCUUUUGGGCAAAGAUGACAUGAAGAUUAGUGAAGUGGUCCAUGUUGCU